GACGAACGCUGGCGGCGUGCCUAAUACAUGCAAGUAGAACGCUGAAGGAGGAGCUUGCUCUUCUGGAUGAGUUGCGAACGGGUGAGUAACGCGUAGGUAACCUGCCUGGUAGCGGGGGAUAACUAUUGGAAACGAUAGCUAAUACCGCAUAAGAGUAGAUGUUGCAUGACAUUUACUUAAAAGGUGCAAUUGCAUCACUACCAGAUGGACCUGCGUUGUAUUAGCUAGUUGGUGGGGUAACGGCUUACCAAGGCGACGAUACAUAGCCGACCUGAGAGGGUGAGCGGCCACACUGGGACUGAGACACGGCCCAGACUCCGACGGGAGGCAGCAGUAGGGAAUCUUCGGCAAUGGACGGAAGUCUGACCGAGCAACGCCGCGUGAGUGAAGAAGGUUUUCGGAUCGUAAAGCUCUGUUGUAAGAGAAGAACGAGUGUGAGAGUGGAAAGUUCACACUGUGACGGUAUCUUACCAGAAAGGGACGGCUAACUACGUG
rnacentral:rRNA from 1 species